rnacentral:rRNA from 1 species
UACAGGGGGUGCAAACGUUGCUCGGAAUCAUUGGGCGUAAGGCGCACGUAGGCGGUUCGUUAUGUCGGAUGUGAAAGCCCUUGGCUUAACCGAGGAAGUGCAUCCGAAACUGGCGAGCUAGAGUACUAAAGAGGAUCGCGGAAUUCCCGGUGUAGAGGUGAAAUUCGUAGAUAUUCGGAGGAACACCAGUGGCGAAGGCGGCUCACUGGUCCAUUACUGACGCUGAGGUGCGAAAGCGUGGGGAGCAAACAGG